UAAUGUAAUUGGUAGAGGAGCGUUCUCAUUGGGGAGAAGCGAUACGGAAACGAGUCGUGGACUAAUGAGAAGAGAGAAUGCCGGUAUAAGUACACGAUAAGGCAGGUGAGAAUCCUGCCCGCCGGAAGUCUAAGGAUUCCUGGGGAAGGCUCGUCCGCCCAGGGUAAGUCGGGACCUAAGGCAAGGCCGAAAGGCGUAGUCGAUGGGAAACAGGUAGAUAUUCCUGUACCACCGCUAUAUGAUGACGAAGCAGUGACGCAGAAAGGUAGAGCGAGCGGCCAGUUGGUGAGCCGUUCAAGUGAGUAGGGUGUUGCGUAGGCAAAUCCGCGCAACGUGAGCCUGAGACACGAUGACGAGUGAAGAAUAGUAACGAAGUCCUUGAUCCUCCGCUGCCAAGAAAAGCUGCUAAGGAAUAUAGAGGUGCCCGUACCGCAAACCGACACAGGUAGACAGGUAGAGAAUACUAAGGCGCGCGAGAUAACUCUUGUUAAGGAACUCUGCAAAAUGAACCCGUAACUUUGGGAGAAGGGUUGCUCUCUAGCGUGAGUAUGAGCAAUACAGAGCGCAGGAGAGUCGCAGUGAAAAGGUCCAGGCGACUGUUUAGCAAAAACACAGGUCAUUGCAAAAUCGCAAGAUGAAGUAUAAUGGCUGACGCCUGCCCGGUGCUGGAAGGUUAAGGGGAAGAGUGCAAGCUUUGAACCGAAGCCCCAGUAAACGGCGGCCGUAACGAUAACGGUCCUAAGGUAGCGAAAUUCCUUGUCGGGUAAGUUCCGACCCGCACGAAAGGCGAAACGAUCUGGACGCUGUCUCAACAAGGGACUCGGUGAAAUUGAAAUUCCGGUAAAGAUGCCGGAUACCUGCGAUAGGACAGAAAGACCCCAUGGAGCUUUACUGUAGCCUGAUAUUGGGUUUCGGAUAUUCAUGUACAGGAUAGGUGGGAGACUAAGAAGCAUGGACGCCAGUUUGUGCGGAGUCACUGGUGGGAUACCACCCUUAAAUGUUUGGAAUUCUAACAAGGAGUCUUGAAGCAGAUUAUUGGACAGUGACAGGUGGGCAGUUUGACUGGGGCGGUCGCCUCCCAAAAGGUAACGGAGGCGCUCAAAGGUUCCCUCAGAACGGAUGGAAAUCGUUCGCAGAGUGCAAAGGCAGAAGGGAGCUUGACUGCGAGAGCCACAACUCGAGCAGAUAGGAAACUAGGACUUAGUGAUCCGGCGGUCGCGAGUGGAAGUGCCGUCGCUCAACGGAUAAAAGCUACCCUGGGGAUAACAGGCUUAUCUCCCCCAAGAGUUCACAUCGACGGGGAGGUUUGGCACCUCGAUGUCGGCUCAUCGCAUCCUGGGGCUGAAGUAGGUCCCAAGGGUUGGGCUGUUCGCCCAUUAAAGCGGUACGCGAGCUGGGUUCAGAACGUCGUGAGACAGUUCGGUCCCUAUCCAUCGCGGGCGUAGGAAAUUUGAAGGGAGCUGACCCUAGUACGAGAGGACCGGGUUGGACAGACCGCUGGUGAACCAGUUGUUCUGCCUAGAGCAUAGCUGGGUAGCUAAGUCUGGAAAAGAUAAACGCUGAAAGCAUCUAAGCGUGAAGCGAACCUUAAGAUGAGAUUUCCCACAACGAAAGUUGAUAAGACACCAGAGAGAAUAACUGGUAGAUAGGUCAGGAGUGUAAGUGUGGUGACACAUUGAGCGGACUGAUACUAAUAAGUCGAAGACUUAGCCAA
rnacentral:rRNA from 1 species